UUGACGGUGUGAAAUGGUCUUGACAUAUUCGAGAUUUGUCAACCUGGAUGGAACCAAAACUCAAAUUCAAUAAUCUUCAAAAGUAUAUCCCGGAAUGCGAAAUGGUUGAAAGUAGUGUGCAGAUUGAAGAAGCAUCAUUGACCAAAGUUGAACUCAAAUUCAUUCACACUUCUAAAGAUUGAAGAAGCUAUGUUUCUGGAAAAUUAAUUUCAUUGUAAAUAUAAGAGUAGGAAGGUGAUGGAGACAUUCAACUAAUUGUGGCAGUUGCCCAAUCAGCUCAACCCUUGGAAGGUGAUGCCAUGCGAGGAAAGCUUUUAACGGCUCUGCAGCUCAAAG